UAAUCCUUAUUCGCUGUUGUAAUCAUUUAAACUUUUUUUCAAAUGUUAUUUGGAUUACAAAUGAAGUGUUCUUAUAUAAAUACAGACCAAGAUCGCGGCGCUGCAACCUAAUAAAACAUAAAGGUGGCGCUGUAUAUAGGAAAGUUACAUGUGUUAUUGUUAUGGAAUCUAUUUAUAGCCACAGAUCUGUUUACAAGUUCCAAUCAUUUAACGUUGUAAUAUUAUCAUUUGUGGUACAUUAUAUGUAUCAAAAUUACGAGUUUUUAAUAGUGCUUUAACAUUUAAUCAUAGUGACAGAAAAGGGAAAGAAAACAUAAUUAACCUAUAAUUCGAAUCUAAAGUCACGUGGAUGGAAAUUCAAAUUCGUAGGCGUUACGUUUUGGCUGUCGGUCAGGAAUCGGGAUGCAUUGAUUAGUGAAUAUUAUAGAUUUUCUUGAACAAAAAGGUAGUUAAAGUGUUGGACAUGCUCUCAAAGGUCGGAGGGACGGAAACACGUGAAUAUGUAAAAAGAAACAUAUGAAAUGAAAAUGAUGUCACACACGCUAUUGGGCGCUACAAACGCUACAUAUCCUCCGGACAGAUGAGGGGUGCUGAAAGAAGGUCAUGUCUUAAAGCAUCACACCUAAAAAUUCGUGCUAAUUCUCAUGGAUAUCUAAAAGUAUAACUUUGUGAAGUAACUAAAAGGCAGCAAUUUAUACAUUACUUACAAUUAUCAAAGGAGGUCAAAAUAUGCAAAAUGGCACUAAAUGUACUAAAUGUUUUAGAAAUGCUGUAGAAAUAUAGUUAAAGUACUGAAAAUCUGUCAUAAAUUGCUUGAAACAUUAUUAUCAGAAUCU